AUUGAACGCUGGCGGCAUGCCUUACACAUGCAAGUCGAACGGCAGCACGGGAGCAAUCCUGGUGGCGAGUGGCGAACGGGUGAGUAAUACAUCGGAACGUGCCCAGUAGUGGGGGAUAACUGCUCGAAAGAGCAGCUAAUACCGCAUACGACCUGAGGGUGAAAGGGGGGGAUCGCAAGACCUCUCACUAUUGGAGCGGACGAUAUCAGAUUAGCUAGUUGGUGGGGUAAAGGCCUACCAAGGCAACGACCUGUAGUUGGUCUGAGAGGACGACCAGCCACACUGGGACUGAGACACGGCCCAGACUCCGACGGGAGGCAGCAGUGGGGAAUUUUGGACAAUGGGCGCAAGCCUGAUCCAGCAAUGCCGCGUGCAGGAAGAAGGCCUUCGGGUUGUAAACUGCUUUUGUCAGGGAAGAAAUCCUCUAGGUUAAUACCCUUGGGGGGAUGACGGUACCUGAAGAAUAAGCACCGGCUAACUACGUGCCAGCCGCCGCGGUAAAAC
rnacentral:rRNA from 1 species